UACGUAGGUGACCAGCGUUGUCCGGAAUUAUUGGGCGUAAAGAGCUCGUAGGCGGUCUGUCGCGUCGGCUGUGAAAACCUGGGGCUCAACUCCGGGCCUGCAGCCGAUACGGGCAGACUAGAGGUAGGUAGGGGAGAAUGGAAUUCCCGGUGUAGCGGUGGAAUGCGCAGAUAUCAGGAGGAACACCGGUGGCGAAGGCGGGUCUCUGGGAAACAACUGACGCUGAGGGACGAAAGCGUGGGUAGCAAACAGG
rnacentral:rRNA from 1 species